rnacentral:rRNA from 1 species
GACGAACGCUGGCGGCGUGCUUAACACAUGCAAGUCGAACGGUGAUGCUCCAGCUUGCUGGAGUGGAUCAGUGGCGAACGGGUGAGUAACACGUGAGCAACCUGCCCCAGACUCUGGAAUAAGCGCUGGAAACGGCGUCUAAUACUGGAUACGAAACUGGCCCGCAUGGGCAUGGUUUGGAAAGUUUGUCGGUUUGGGAUGGGCUCGCGGCCUAUUAGCUUGUUGGUGAGGUAAUGGCUCACCAAGGCGACGACGGGUAGCCGGCCUGAGAGGGCGAACGGCCACACUGGGACUGAGACACGGCCCAGACUCCUACGGGAGGCAGCAGUGGGGAAUAUUGCACAGUGGGCGAAAGCCUGAUGAAGAGACGCCGCGUGAGGGAUGACGGCCUUCGGGUUGUAAACCUCUUUCAGCAGGGAAGAAGCGAAAGUGACGGUACCUGCAGAAGAAGCACCGGCUAACUACGUG